rnacentral:lncRNA from 1 species
UGGAGUUUAAAAAGUAAUUAAAUUGUGAAUUUUGCCAAUAACUUGGUACCUUAUGCGAAAUCGCAAUAUAUCCAACUAUUUUGCAUUGGAGCUCAUUGCCUUUGCAACCACAACAAGAAGGCGCGAGAAAACUCAGUGGAGAUUAUUUUUCACUCAUAAUCUCUAAUUAAGCUCCUUAGAUGCCACCAUGGAAUUAAAGAAGAGCACAUGGGUUUGGCCCCCAUACACCGACUAAUGGCAAUAUAUACGUGCAAAGAUACAUUUAUAUACCAUAUCCUGUACUAAGCAAUAACCUAGUGGCACAGUUAUGAGCUCGCAUUUGGGUCAACCUUGCCUUCAUAGUUGCCUUCAACUCCGAGACUUUACCUGCAAUUUUAGACGCAUCAUCGAUGAAUCAUGAUGAAUGGUGGUGAAAUAUUAUAAAAUCAGGUAAACUGAACUCAAACCUUUGAUCCCGAGGCCGAUAGCGUUGGCUCUGGAUCCCAAAACCAUCCAUUACUGCUUCUAUUUGCCCAAAACGGGAGCAUUAAUGCUAGAAUUAGUCCUAACUGAGGCAAAUUAUUUUCUCUACAGGUGGCUAUCUCUUAACCUUGAUGAGUAGCAGCAUUGACCAAACCCAAUGCAACACACAAACCAAAACAACUUUAAGUGAGUUGUAUGUCAUCAUCAUUAAUCAAGGUGGGAUAUGUAAGCAAUCUCGGGGAUUACAUUAGUGGGUUGAUACUAGUAUGACUUUACAAAGUUUAACCCUUUUCUUAAUUGUAAGGUGAUUAAGUCACACAAUCAGGAUGCAACAUCUCCAUAACACUAACAAGUCAACUAACGAAUUUAAUAUCUGCUCUCGGCAUUUAAACACUGCAAGCUGGAAACAAGAAAAACCCCAACGGAGCUGAGAUUUCAAAGUGCUGCUCUUAUGUGCAUCAAACAAAGUGGCAUUAAUGUAUUACUUAUCUCGUCGUCAUUGUAUCAAGAUGCGCACCAGAAGCAACGCAUCGGUGCGUGCAAGAACAUAGGUGUUGCGUUGCACCAUUUAAAGACCUAAUUGCAUAAGGUGCACUAGCAGCAUAUCUAUUCAAGAAACCUAUUUAUUCGAUUAACAUAACCAUGGCUCAACAUUCAAGUUCUCUCUUCUCUCCUUUUUUUUUUGACAGCAAUGCUGGGCAUUUGAGAUGGUGUGCCCAAUAAAUUCCAUUCAAGGCCACAUUGAAGUAGUGAAAUGAAUUGGAGGUCAGUCAAAUUUCUAUAAUCUUUAGAAGCAAUCAAAAAGGACAAAUAGUUGAUGAGUUUCAACUUUCAACUCCACACCUAAAAAUAAUAAAUAAUUGUCAUAAUUACCCAAUAAGUCCAGCUAACUUGCUUACAUGGCCACUACAAAGUUGUAAAAUCUACUGGAGGUAAUUAAGUCACUAGCAAACUUUUGGCACAAUUAAACUAGACAUGCCUAUCAUGGGUUACAAUUUUCAACCAGGCUCACUGUUGGGAGAUUGCCACAGUCAUCUAGCAUGUGGCUAAAGAAAACUACCGCCGAAGUAAGAAAAAAAAAGAGAAGAUUCAUCACUGGAAAUUUUCUUCUUUCAGAUAAAUGAAAAAAAAACAUUUCUUUGCCUUGUGUAUAUGACCAACCAUAAAGCCUCUCACCUCGCACUUCUCUCCCACCCAACACAGAUUAUUCAACCCCUACCAUGCCACUCUCCAGCCAUGAAUACCUUGGUAAUAAAAUGCGUCCUUCCUUAGCCUCUAGUACAUGAAGUAGUAGUAGUACUGCUAUACUCUUAAUGCUGCAUUAAAG